rnacentral:rRNA from 1 species
AAAUUCUCAACGAUGGAUAUCUAGGUUCCCGUAACGAUGAAGAACGCAGCGAAGUGCGAUAAGCAAUGCGAAUUGCAGAACCGUGAGUCAUCAGAUUUUUGAACGCAAUU